UAGGGAAUCUUCGGCAAUGGACGAAAGUCUGACCGAGCAACGCCGCGUGAGUGAAGAAGGUUUUCGGAUCGUAAAACUCUGUUGUUAGAGAAGAACAAGGACGUUAGUAACUGAACGUCCCCUGACGGUAUCUAACCAGAAAGCCACGGCUAACUACGUGCCAGCAGCCGCGGUAAUACGUAGGUGGCAAGCGUUGUCCGGAUUUAUUGGGCGUAAAGCGAGCGCAGGCGGUUUCUUAAGUCUGAUGUGAAAGCCCCCGGCUCAACCGGGGAGGGUCCUUGGAAACUGGGAGACUUGAGUGCAGAAGCGGAGAGUGGAAUUCCAUGUGUAGCGGUGAAAUGCGUAGAUAUAUGGAGGAACACCAGUGGCGAAGGCGGCUCUCUGGUCUGUAACUGACGCUGAGGCUCGAAAGCGUGGGGAGCAAACAGG
rnacentral:rRNA from 1 species